rnacentral:rRNA from 1 species
GCAUGGGGUGCAUCUACAUAUCUUAUUGUCUGAUCUCGGAAGCUAAGCAGGGUCAGGCUUGGUUAGUACUUGGAUGGGAGACCGCGUGGGAAUCCCGGGUGCUAUAGGCU